UUCUUUCUUUCUUUCUUUCUUUCUUUCUUUCCUUGCUUUCUUGCUUGCUUGCUUUCUUGCUUUCUUUCUUGCUUGCUUGCUUUUUCUUUUCUUUCUUUUCUUUCUCUUUCUUGCUUGCUUGCUUGCUUUCUUGCUUGCUUGCUUUCUUGCUUUCUUUCUUGCUUGCUUGCUUUCUCUUUCUUUCUUUCUUUCUUGCUUGCUUUCUUUCUUCUUUCUCUUUCUUUCUUUCUUCUUUCUUUUCCUUUCUUCCUUUCUUUUUUUUUUGACAGUCUCACUCUCUCAC
rnacentral:lncRNA from 1 species